rnacentral:rRNA from 1 species
UUUGAUGGCGACCGGCGCACGGGUGAGUAACACGUAUCCAACCUGCCGAUGACUCGGGGAUAGCCUUUCGAAAGAAAGAUUAAUACCCGAUGGCAUAGUUCUUCCGCAUGGUAGCACUAUUAAAGAAUUUCGGUCAUCGAUGGGGAUGCGUUCCAUUAGGUUGUUGGCGGGGUAACGGCCCACCAAGCCUUCGAUGGAUAGGGGUUCUGAGAGGAAGGUCCCCCACAUUGGAACUGAGACACGGUCCAAACUCCUACGGGAGGCAGCAUG